rnacentral:rRNA from 1 species
UACGUAGGUGGCAAGCGUUGUCCGGAUUUAUUGGGUUUAAAGGGUGCGUAGGCGGCUUUGUAAGUCAGUGGUGAAAUAUGGCAGCUUAACUGUCAAGGUGCCAUUGAUACUGCGGAGCUUGAGUACAGAUGAGGUAGGCGGAAUUGACGGUGUAGCGGUGAAAUGCUUAGAUAUCGUCAAGAACACCUAUAGCGAAGGCAGCUUACUAGGCUGUAACUGACGCUGAGGCACGAAAAGUGUGGGGGAUCAAAACAGG